AUGGGGCAGCAGGGCCAUGGACAAGCUCUGCCAGUGGUGCCUGUGUCCAAGGCCUCUGGGCAGAUCCUGAGUGCCCAGCAGUGCACACCGGGAGUCUGGGGACCAGUAGAGCCACACGUCCGUCCCCACUCCAUUAAGCUCCCUGGCCUGGGCAGUGCCUGCAGCUGGCCACCGCUGUCUUGGCACCAUCCUUGCAGCUUCACCUUAUGCCUGUCCUUCUACUCUGGGAGGACAACCUUGCCCCCAUCACAAGAUGUGAACAGAGGUAGAGGUUGUAGGGGCCAGCGAGGCCCAGUGACCUGCCCAUAUCAAUGCUGCCACGAGGCAAGGCCCAUGCCCUCUCCCCUGCUGUUCUGUCCUGGAGCUUCCGCAGCUGCAGGAAGACAUCCCCUACCCCGCUCCCUGCAGAGGAUGCUUGGCGGUCAGACGGCGGAUCUGCAAAGGAAGGUGUACCCUUCUCAGUGUGCACAAGGGCUGCCAGGCCAACUCCACCAUCGAGAGCAGAUGCCGGCUGGGGAGAGGCCGAGCGCCGCCUGGGCCCAGUGGCUGGGGUGCUGGGAGGCAGGCUCUGCAGGUGCAGCUGGAGCUCCAAAGUGUGAGCAUUGGGCCAGGAGGACCACAGCCCGGCUGAUCCAGGGGAGAGAAGUCGUUUCUGAGAUUCUGGAAAGGACAGCCAUUGGUAAGCACCCCACAGCCACUCAUCCGUGAACUCAACCAUCCGAUCACCCAUCAGUUCAUGCAGUCAUUGGAUACAGAUUUACUGUUAUUCAUUUAUCCACUUGUUUUUGUAGAGAUGGAGUCUCACUAUGCUGCCCAGACUGGUCUCAAACACUUGGACUCGAGCAAUACUCCCACCUCAGCCUCCCAAAGCACUGGAUUACAGGCAUGACCCACCACAGCUGGCCUGGGGAGAGAUUUAUUGAGCAACUUCUAUGUGCCAGGCACUGUGUCAGAGGGAGACACAGACCAUAAACAAGGGGAUAAGUGAGGAAGAAGGAAAAUCAAUCAAUGAUUAAAAUGGCUAUGGAGAAAAAUAAAGCAGGGGAGGCCCAGUGGCUGCG
rnacentral:lncRNA from 1 species